rnacentral:rRNA from 1 species
CUACGGAGGGUGCAAGCGUUGUUCGGAAUUACUGGGCGUAAAGCGCGCGUAGGCGGCUUGUUAAGUCAGAUGUGAAAGCCCACAGCUCAACUGUGGAAGUGCAUUUGAAACUGGCAGGCUUGAGUACUGGAGGGGAUGGUGGAAUUCCCGGUGUAGAGGUGAAAUUCGUAGAUAUCGGGAGGAAUACCGGUGGCGAAGGCGACCAUCUGGCCAGAUACUGACGCUGAGGUGCGAAAGCGUGGGGAGCAAACAGGAUUAGAAACCCCAGUAGUCC